CAUAGACGCAAUAAGCGAAUAGUCCAGUUCCAUUUGCGUAGUAUUUUACUUCAAAGCCAAAAAGCACGUACGCGCUGCUGCUAUAACUAGUGCAAGUGUGUUUUCUUUUAAUACUCGUACAUAAUUAAUUAAUUAAGUGUUCAAGAGAGUUAAUUUAGUCGAAGAUGAAACUUAUUCACGUCAACUCGAAAAGUAGAUCUUUCCGAAUGAAGAAACAUGAUAGUCUCGAUGAAUGUAGCAGGACACAGAGAGGAAAAUUGAUCAAGUCAGAUAGCACUGCUUCAGAAAAGUCCCACGAUAAAUGUAAUCUCCCUGAUCAUUUGUCAUUACAGCUACAAGAAAAUAUAGUUUUGUUUGUUUGCGCCGUAAUUGGUCUGUUAAUAUGUACAGCGGCUUCUAUUUACUUUAUUUCUACAAAGAAUGUUUAAUAAUUAUUAAGCGUUGAAACAUUUAUAUCUGGUGUAUGUUUUGAAUUUGUUGUCAUAACAAUGAAUAAGUACAGACGUUGGAUAGAAGAAAAUGUUUUAUUUUUAAUUAAAUAAAAAAUAGCUUGUAGUAAUGCCUACAACACACAAAAUCAUGGAUACAAAACAAUUUGGAAUUGUACAUAGGAUCUGAUGAUGAUCUCUUCGCAAAAAUAAAAAUAAAAAGGGAAGUCAUCUAUUCAAUAGAUUGCAGGACCAAUCAUUAAAACAAUGUAUGGCUUGUUAAUUAAUAAAUUUUUUCCAAUUUUCAAUUGUGUUACACUUAAAAUCGUAAUUGUUUAAGUGACAAUUAUUUUUGUAAGCAAUUCAACAUAAAGAUUAGAUCUCAACCAUUUUUAUUAAUUGUACAUUAUUUGCAGAAUAAGACACAUUUAAUCCUU
rnacentral:lncRNA from 1 species